rnacentral:lncRNA from 1 species
AAAAUAUAUUGAUUGAAAUGGAUAAAGCUAUAAUGCACGGAUAAAUGAUGAAAUUAGGAGAAAAAUAUUUUUAUCAUAUUUAAAUGUGUUUUAUGUGUUUAUUAUGUUAGUUAAUGAGCCAACUCUGCUCCCUACUGUAAAACUAGAAAUGGGAGAUUUGGAAUCGAAUCCAAAUUCUCCAAGAUGGCAGGUGACUGCUUUACUACAUGGUCAUCCAAUUGACUUGUGUGCAUAUUUUUUUUAUAUUACAGUUUUGUGGCACUACCGUAUAAGAUAUUCUCUGACAUACAUGUGUAGGCUUCUGCUGAAUAAUCCACUUAAAUGUGUU